rnacentral:ncRNA from 1 species
UGAUUUGUUCGUAGAGCGCGAACAGCAUAAUCAAAAGAAAGCUCAACUGAU